CAUUGCUAACAAAUUGCACAAUAAUUGCAGAGCUCAGCGCAAAACUCCCAGGACGCUCCCUCAUGCCCUGAACUAUUCCAGUUUCCAUCCCCUUCAGCCUACUAGGAAGCGCAGUGGAUGAGCUCAUGCCGUGGCUCUGGCUCCACACCCAUCCCGAGCAAGGACUUUCCCUGUGAGAUGUGAUCGUGGUUCCAAGCUGAAGUACAACGUGGGGAUGAAAGCUGCACCAUGAGCACCUUCAAGCGUGGAGAACACAAGUCCCACCGAGCUGCCAGGGAAUGCUGGGCAGACCCGGGAGCUGCUGCUCUGAGCUGGCCCCUCUUCCUCAGAGCACUUUAUGGGCACAAUGUGGGACAGGAUCCACCCCAUGGGUUGAUGACUGCAAAUCAAAGCCAACGUGACAGGGGCUCUGGGUGUCCCCACGUGCAUUCACAGCCGGAGCAGAGCUCUCAUCCCCCUCGACCGCGUUACCCAUCCCAGGGCUUGAAAAUAGAAGCAGGAGCCCUGAUUCACACUUCCCAGCCUCCUCAAGCCUGCAGCAGGGACCCGAGCAGGCAGCCCUGCGUGCUCCCCUGCCAGCCCUGCAUGGACACAACAGGCCGGCAGCAGCUGCCUCUGCUCAUUCACCGGCUUGGGAAUGCUUUUCCUUACAUAAUACAGGCAGGAACGUGAAGGUUUCAGCUCGCAACGGAGCUCCCACCCCUGCGCCGGCACGGACCGUGCCGGUGGGUUUCAUUCACCGAGCGCCAGCAGCGGAGGGCUCGGGAGGAUGCAGCUCUGCCAUGAGGAUGCCCUGGUCACUCCUGCAAAGCGCCUGGCCGCUGCUCCGGGAGGCAGCCGCAUCCUCUCCCUCUGCCAUGGCUGCGGGGAAGGAGCCGAAGGGGCCGAGGAUCGCACAGGGAGCGCUUGCAGAGGAGGCAGCCGAGGCUCUGAGGCAGCCAAGAACAAGCAGCACAGGCUGGCGAGCAGGGAGGGAGCCGGGAACAGGCUGGCAUGUGGACAAACCCCCACUGCUGUACAGCUAUUAUCUGCUUUUCCCAAAGUGCUCCUCAACGCAUCACCCCAACAGGAGUGAGGGAAUGAGUUCCCACCACCACCCUUCGCUCACACUCUCAUUCCCCUGACGUGGGGAGGUAGAGAGGUGGGAGCUGACCUGGACACGAUGCUCUCACACCUCCAGAUCCGUGAUGCAGCCAAGGUCAGUCCUGCCCCCCCAGAACCCUUGGGGAGCUUGUAGGGAUGCUCCCGACUCAUCCCCUUGGGAUGCUGCUGAGGGGAUGUGGGGCCAGAGGGCUGCAGGCAGCACAGCUUUACCACCACCAUUCUCUCUGUUCACGCUUGCAGUCACCACUGGCCUGUUUUAGCUCCUUCCCCUGGGAUUUUAACACCAGAACUCGCCUGCAGUUUGGGUGGGAGGGGAGGAUGCGCGUUGCCUCUGUCAGCAAAUCCUCCUGAAGAGAUGCAAAGGACUUCCCUAGACACAUGGAAGUGUUGGCUCUUGUUCCCAGCUGGGGAAACUGAGGCAGGGAGUGAGGGAAAACCACUGCCGCAAGUCUCCUGCAUGGGUUAAUGCGGAGACCGCAACCAAAAGCAGUGAAACUUGAAGGUCCCAUGUGCCUUUAGCUGUGCCAGCACCUCGGGGUGCUCCACACCUCCAGAAAGCAGGCUGCCUGCGACCCGUCCUGGGUAACCAGAGCUGUAGGAGGUGACAAACCACUUCCCUGCCCUGAAACCGAUCGGAUGCUGUGGAGCCAGAGGGAGCAAGGAUGAGCUGGACAUGCUGUAGCCAGAAAGGAAAGGCCUGGGCAGGGGAGAUGAGCUCUGCCUGGUGGCCCUGAGCUGUCCCAUGGCCUCUCAGCCACUGAUGGCCACAGCCACGCGGGGUGAUGCUCAGGGACUGCGGGUUUCUCGCUGCUGACUCUAAUCCGCCUCACCCCGAUAUAGCCACUGACCCGCUGGGCAGCUAAACUUAGCAGGAUGAAUCCUGCCCUGUGGCAGCAGGGCAGUGGGGACGGGGCCAUAAGCACAGGUCCAGGACCCUCGGACCACCUCCCAGAGGCUGGGCAGGCCCCAGGGGUGUGGAUGGAGGAGACAGGAGCAGGGAGAUGGGGCACUCAGGCCAUGAGCUCAGCUCACAGCCUCGAGGGAGCCAGACCCGCCCGUGAGCCCAAAGCGGAGACGUGGCACGAGCCCCCUUUAGCCGCCCCCGUUCCUCCCCUGUGUCUCACGGGAGAAGCGUCCCGGGCAAUGCGGCACAGGGAGGGCCCGGGGGUGCAGCAGCAGCUGGUGCUGUCACUUGCGAGGGACACCGAGGGCAGAGGGGCAGGGGCCAGGUCCGGUCCCUCGCAUCCUUGGGGAGCUGCUCGGCGGGGCUGAGAGCCUCCCACUCGUGACCGGUGGGAGCGGAUCCCGCGGGGGAGCCGGCCCGGACGGGGCGGGCGCAGCGCUCACCGCUGCGGUAACGCUGCCCUCUAACGGCCGCCGGCCGGCCCCGCUCCAGCCCGGCCCCACGGGCUCCCCCCACGCUGGUUGCGGGGGGCUCGGGGGGACCCCCCCCACCGGCCCGUCCCGGCGCUGUUCUCACCUGCGCGUGGACCAUGCCGCAGUCCCCGCAGGCCUCCGUGCAGCUCCCGGGCAGCACCAGGCACAGGACCCCGCGGCCGCCCCGAUCCAGCUCCGGCCGCCCCAGCGGGGAUGGGGGGGUCCCCCCCGGGGGACUUUGCCCCGCCAGCCCCGGUGCUCGGCUGACCCCAGCGCUGCAGGGCCCGGGGGCUGCGGGGCCGCCCCACAGCCGCCUGCGUGCGGCUCCAGCGAGGCGCUGGCGGGUCACCAGGAGCAGAUUAGUGAGGUAAGGGGAGA